GCCUCCAGAGUAGCUGGGACUGCAGGACUGCUGUUGGGCUGGAAUGCCUGAGGGUUAAAUCAUUCUUCCCUCCCUCCGUCACCCAUGGCCCAGGACUGACUAGGGGUGGUAUAGUGGAGAAUUGCUUGAACUGGGAC